rnacentral:rRNA from 1 species
CUCAACCUGGGAAUGGCAUUCGAUACUGUCCAGCUAGAGUCUGGUAGAGGGAAGUGGAAUUUCCGGUGUAGCGGUGAAGUGCGUAGAUAUCGGAAGGAACACCAGUGGCGAAGGCGACUUCCUGGACCAAGACUGACGCUGAGGUGCGAAAGCGUGGGUAGCAAACAGGAUUAGAUACCCUGGUAGUCCACGCCGUAAACGAUGAGAACUAGCCGUUGGACCCAUUUAAGGGUUUAGUGGCGCAGCUAACGCAAUAAGUUCUCCGCCUGGGGAGUACGGCCGCAAGGCUAAAACUCAAAGGAAUUGACGGGGGCCCGCACAAGCGGUGGAGCAUGUGGUUUAAUUCGAUGCAACGCGAAGAACCUUACCUGCCCUUGACAUCCUCGGAACUUGGUAGAGAUACCUUGGUGCCUUCGGGAGCCG